CACAGCCUCUUCCCUCCCAGUGAAAUACCCUCACUUCCCCCCGGCCUCUCAGAGCCUCUUGGAUCCCUACGGGGUAAUGGGCAUUCCAGUCUCGAGGCCGACCCUGUGAUCCGUGAUCCCCUGGCCCUCCUAGUGCACAAGCUGGCUGGGCUCACUGAGCUGCUGCACCACUGCCUGUCAGGUGAGGAAACUGAAACCCAGAGAGGCCCAGGGAUGGGCCACGGUCAGCAGAUGGGAAGCCACUUGCCAGGGUCAGGUCUGCUGCCAGCCCCAAGCACCCCACCAGCCAUAGCCAUGAGCUCUUCCAGAAAGGACCACCUCGGCGCCAGCCGCUCAGAGCCCCUCCCGGUCAUCAUCGUGGGCAAUGGCCCCUCUGGCAUCUGCCUGUCCUACCUGCUCUCCGGCUACACACCCUACGUGAAGCCAGAUGCCGUCCACCCCCACCCCCUGCUGCAGAGGAAGCUCACUGAGGCCCCGGGGGUCUCCAUCCUGGACCAGGACCUGGACCACCUGUCCGAAGGCCUUGAGGGCCGAUGCCAAAGCCCCGUGGCUCUGCUCUUUGAUGCCCUCCUGCGCCCAGACACAGACUUUGGGGGAAACAUGGAGUCGGUCCUCACCUGGAAGCACCAGGCGGAGCAUGCCCUCCCCCACUUGGUUCUGGGCCGGAACCUCCCCGGGGGAGCCUGGCACUCCAUCGAAGGCUCCAUGGUGACCCUGAGCCAGGGCCAGUGGAUGGGGCUCCCGGACCUGGAGGUCAAGGACUGGCUGCAGAAGAAGCGAAGAGGCCUUCGAAACAGCCGGGCUACGGCCGGGGACAUCGCCCACUACUACAGGGACUACGUCGUCAAGAAGGGUCUGGGGCAUAACUUUGUGUCCGGUGCUGUGGUCACAGCCGUGGAGUGGAGGACCCCCGACCCCAGCCCUCUCUUCCAGAUUUUCCGCCGCGCGGACAAAAAUGAUGAUGGGAAGCUGUCCUUGGAGGAAUUCCAGCUCUUCUUUGCAGAUGGCGUCCUCAACGAGAAAGAGCUCGAAGAUCUCUUUCACACGAUUGAUUCUGACAACACCAACCACGUGGACACCAAGGAGCUAUGUGAUUAUUUUGUGGACCACAUGGGUGACUAUGAGGACGUCCUGGCCUCCCUGGAGACCUUGAAUCACUCUGUCCUGAAGGCCAUGGGCUACACCAAGAAGGUAUAUGAGGGUGGCAACAAUGUGGACCAGUUUGUGACCCGCUUCCUCCUGAAGGAGACGGCCAGUCAGAUCCAGUCGCUGCUCAGCUCCGUGGAGAGUGCGGUGGAAGCCAUCGAGGAACAGACCAGCCAGAUCCGACAGAACCACAGCAAACCCAGCCACAGUGUGGCGCAGACCUGGUGUGGAAGCCCCACUCCCCGCUCUGCCCCCAACCACAAGCUCAUGGCCACGGAACAAGGCAGGAGUCUUCCAUCUGCUGCUGAGGAUACAAAGGAAGAGGGCCUAGAAACCCAGAUCAGCCGCUUGGCAGAGCUGAUUGGGAGGCUGGAGAGCAAGGCACUGUGGUUCGACCUGCAGCAGCGCCUCUCGGACGAAGACGGCACCAACAUGCUGGUCCGGCAGGAGAUGGCCGUGUGCCCUGAGCAGCUGAGCGAGUUCGUGGAUUCCCUGCGCCAGUAUCUGCGGGGCACCGCGGGAGAGAGGAGCUGCUUCCACAUCGCUGCCGUGAGGCUCUCAGACGGCUUCACCUUUGUUGUCUAUGAGUUCUGGGAGACAGAGGAAGAGUGGAAGAGGCACCUGCAGAGCCCCGUGUGCAAGGCGUUCCGGCACGUCAAGGUGGACAUGCUGAGCCAGCCCGAGGCCCUCUCCAGGAUCUCAGUGCCAGGUGUGGAGACAGAGGGCAAGUGACUCACCAGAGGUCACACAGCAAAUAAGCGGCUCAAGUCAGAUCCAAACCCAUAGUCCCGUGCCCAACUGCCCCUACCACAUAGCAUCAACCCACAAGGAAGGAUGGCUUCGGAUUAACCCGACAGUCAUGUGAGGAUCACAUCUACCUGUCACAGAAUGGAGAUGGAAGCCUUUGUCCCGAGUGGUGAUAUUCAGUCACCCCUUAAAGAGCCCCGCCAUCACCUCUUAGCAUUUAGUGCCAGUCCACUUGCCUCCUGAGCUGCUUUCCUGCUUUGGGACAAGUCCUCACGUCCUCAUACUUCCCUUUUCCCCUUGGCAAUCACAACCUGGGUCUUCCAGGAUAAAGCUACCGUUGCUUGGGUCUCCAUUGUGUGUGAGGUAUCCCAUCACCUACUCCUGACACAUCGCCUUCAUUCCUCACAAGUGCCCCACUUCGUACAGAGUAAGCCUGCUCCAUUUUGCUGGUAGGGCAACCGAUUCUGCAAAAAGGUUCACACACUACCGAAGACUUCGAGAUAGCAAACGGCAGAGCCAGUGUUCAAAUCCAACAGUCCAACUCCAAAGCCGCUUCACACACAGCCUUCUUUGAUGGCAUGACUCUCGCCCUGCCACAUGGUCAUAUUCCAGGACUCUCCACGAAUGGUCCUAGCACAGCCCCAGCCUUCCCGGCCCAGGGCCACAGACCCUUUCAGGAAGCAGACAGGUAUAAGUAAUAAACCAAUGACUUCAGCCUCACCUCUCACUCCAGGGUGAUAAGUUCUCCAUCACAGCAAUCUAGGCU